rnacentral:rRNA from 1 species
AAAGGCGCUUUCGGGUGUCGCUGAUGGAUGGACCCGCGGUGCAUUAGCUAGUUGGUGAGGUAACGGCUCACCAAGGCCACGAUGCAUAGCCGACCUGAGAGGGUGAUCGGCCACAUUGGGACUGAGACACGGCCCAAACUCCUACGGGAGGCAGCAGUAGGGAAUCUUCGGCAAUGGACGAAAGUCUGACCGAGCAACGCCGCGUGAGUGAAGAAGGUUUUCGGAUCGUAAAACUCUGUUGUUAGAGAAGAACAAGGAUGAGAGUAACUGUUCAUCCCUUGACGGUAUCUAACCAGAAAGCCACGGCUAACUACGUGCCAGCAGCCGCGGUAAUACGUAGGUGGCAAGCGUUGUCCGGAUUUAUUGGGCGUAAAGCGAGCGCAGGCGGUUUCUUAAGUCUGAUGUGAAAGCCCCCGGCUCAACCGGGGAGGGUCAUUGGAAACUGGGAGACUUGAGUGCAGAAGAGGAGAGUGGAAUUCCAUGUGUAGCGGUGAAAUGCGUAGAUAUAUGGAGGAACACCAGUGGCGAAGGCGGCUCUCUGGUCUGUAACUGACGCUGAGGCUCGAAAGCGUGGGGAGCAAACAGGAUUAGAUACCCUGGUAGUCCACGCCGUAAACGAUGAGUGCUAAGUGUUGGAGGGUUUCCGCCCUUCAGUGCUGCAGCUAACGCAUUAAGCACUCCGCCUGGGGAGUACGACCGCAAGGUUGAAACUCAAAGGAAUUGACGGGGGCCCGCACAAGCGGUGGAGCAUGUGGUUUAAUUCGAAGCAACGCGAAGAACCUUACCAGGUCUUGACAUCCUUUGACCACUCUAGAGAUAGAGCUUCCCCUUCGGGGGCAAAGUGACAGGUGGUGCAUGGUUGUCGUCAGCUCGUGUCGUGAGAUGUUGGGUUAAGUCCCGCAACGAGCGCAACCCUUAUUGUUAGUUGCCAUCAUUCAGUUGGGCACUCUAGCAAGACUGCCGGUGACAAACCGGAGGAAGGUGGGGAUGACGUCAAAUCAUCAUGCCCCUUAUGACCUGGGCUACACACGUGCUACAAUGGGAAGUACAACGAGUUGCGAAGUCGCGAGGCUAAGCUAAUCUCUUAAAGCUUCUCUCAGUUCGGAUUGCAGGCUGCAACUCGCCUGCAUGAAGCCGGAAUCGCUAGUAAUCGCGGAUCAGCACGCCGCGGUGAAUACGUUCCCGGGCCUUGUACACACCGCCCGUCACACCACGAGAGUUUGUAACACCCGAAGUCGGUGAGGUAACCUUUU